GAUGAACGCUGGCGGCGUGCUUAACACAUGCAAGUCGAACGGAAAGGCUCCUUCUUGCAGGGGUGCUCGAGUGGCGAACGGGUGAGUAACAAGUGGGUGAUCUGCCCUGCACUUCGGGAUAAGCCUGGGAAACUGGGUCUAAUACCGGAUAGGACGAUGGGUUGGAGGCCGUGGGGGAAAGUUUUUUCGGUUUGGGAUGAGCUCGCGGCCUAUCAGCUUUGUGGGGGGGGAAUGGCCUACCAAGGGGUCGCCGGGUGGCCGGCCUGAGAGGGUGUACGGCCACAUUGGGCCUGCGGUACGGCCCAGACUCCUACGGGAGGCAGCAGUGGGGAAUAUUGCACAAUGGGCGCAAGCCUGAUGCGGCGACGCCGGGUGGGGGAUGACGGCCUUCGGGUGGUAAACUCCUUUCGCUAGGGACGAAGCGCGAGUGACGGUACCUGGAGAAGAAGCACCGGCUAACUACGUG
rnacentral:rRNA from 1 species